UACGAGGGGGGCAAGUGUUGUUCGGAUUUACUGGGUGUAAAGGGAGUGUAGGCGGUUUGGCAAGUCAGGGGUGAAAUACCCGCGCUUAACGCGGUGUCCUGCCUUUGAAACUACCAAACUUGAAUGUUGGAGAGGGUAACGGAAUUCCAGGUGUAGCGGUGGAAUGCGUAGAUAUCUGGAAGAACACCAGUUGCGAAGGCGGUUACCUGGCCAAACAUUGACGCUGAGGCUCGAAAGCCGGGGGA
rnacentral:rRNA from 1 species